ACGGUGGGCGCCGGACCCCGCCUCCCAGACCUGCCUCCCAAUUUUCGAUGAGUGGUGUAGCCCUGGGCGGCGUGCAAAGUGUGCGACGGCGCGCUUACCCCUGCUGCGCGCCUCCUUACCUCCAGCUUCCCGGUUAGCGCACGCCACGCGGGGACGGCCACCCACCCCUCCCUGCCGGCGGCGCGUGCCAGUGGAGGUACACUUCUACCUACUCCCCCACCCCGCCUCUCUUUAUGGAUCUGAAGGACAACAGAGAGCAACUCAGAAUCACCAGAGAACACUUGGAACUGACAACAGGAAGCAAAGUCUGCCCGCCAGACCCUCACAGCCGGUUACCUCGCCUCACUGCGGGCCUUGGACUUUUCUCGAACUCUGCUGAAAAGCUGCUGUGCUGGCCUGCGCCUCCUCACAUCCAGAUACGCCAGGCCCUAAUCACACUUUGGAUAAGCCCUCCUCUCCUUCCACAUGAAAAUACCACCGUCUUUCGACAAAAGCUCAAAGGAACCACUGUCACCUAAACGAGAGCCGGUAAAAAUAUUGACCCUGAAGACCCGAAUGUCCUCGUUAGCUACUUGGACAGUAAGGCCUUGCUGUCAAUGAUUCUUUGCCUGUUUAAAGAAAUCACGACUCAGUCAUUCACCAACUAGAUUAGAAACUAGUUGAAGACACGGCCCUAGUUUUCUGUUUUUAUUAAAUAAAAACCUCUUGGUUUGA